CUGAGAGAGAGACAGCAGGAGAGAUCAUUUCAUGAAUAUCCUGCAAAGAAACAAAAUACACCCAGCCCCAGCAAAUCAACUGCUGAACCUAUGGAUAUAGGUUUUAUAAAGGGACCAUUAACCCCUGAGGAGAAGAUCCGACGAAGGGUUAAUAACCUCUGUUUAUACUGUGCUUCAGACAAACACACUGUCAGGGACUGUCCUUCCCUCCUGAAACAAAACAAGGUGGGAGUCACAUCGAAUCAACGCUCCCGCGAUUAUUGACUCAGGAGCUACAGCAUCUUACAUAGAUACUGUAUUCACUAAAUUCAAUAAAAUUCCACUUGUGCAAAAAA